AGUACCUACGGGGGGCGGCAGUGGGGAAUAUUGCACAAUGGGGGAAACCCUGAUGCAGCGACGCCGCGUGAAGGAAGAAGUAUUUCGGUAUGUAGACUUCUAUCAGCAGGGAAGAAAAUGACGGUACCUGACUAAGAAGCCCCGGCUAACUACGUGCCAGCAGCCGCGGUAUUACGUAGGGGGCAAGCGUUAUCCGGAUUUACUGGGUGUAAAGGGAGCGUAGGCGGUGCA
rnacentral:rRNA from 1 species